AGGAUAUAUUGGAAUUGUAUGACAUUAGUGAUACUACAAUAUUUAAGAGUAAAAUGCUUUCAGCUGUUGCUACAAAAUUUAGGCAACAAAAGUCUUAUCUUACCAGGGAAUGAGUACAUGGGAAACAUAAGGGUAAAAACCCGUGUGAUGAGUAUAAUAUUGACCCUGAAGAAUGGGAGAAAUUCAAAGAAAUUCGGAAUGACCCUUCUUGGAAGCUUGUAAGAAAAAAAGCGCAGGAUAUCCAGAAACUCAAUAAUGCACCCCACCUAUUGUCUCGUGGGGGUUAUGAGCUACUUGUGAGAAAUUAUAUGAAAAGAGAACUUAAACGACUUAAGGAGGUAGCAAUACAAUCUGGUGCUAGUGAGGAUGUAGCCAUUGAUCCUCCACCUCCUCCUCCACGCCAUAGGUUGUGGAACAUGGCUCGCACAAAAAGUUCUGGAGAGAUGACUUUUGAGUCUGCUAAUCAAAUAGCACAAAAAAUUAAUGUGUUGGAAGAGCAAGAAUCACAAGGUUCAUUUAUUCCUGAAGGCCGUCAGGAUAUAUUAAAUACUGCCCUUGGACGACCAGAGCAUCCUGGUCGUGUUCGUACAGCUGGGGUUGGUGUUACUAUUGGUAAUUACUUUGGACCGUUAUCACAGGGGUCAUCCUUAUCUAGAUUGAGCCCACAGGAUCUUGAAGCCCUCACACAACAAAUAUAUGCACGAGUCACAAAAACUUUAAUGGAAAAGUACCC